UACGUAGGGUGCAAGCGUUAAUCGGAAUUACUGGCGUAAGCGUGCGCAGGCGGUGAUGUAAGACAGUUGUGAAAUCCCGGCUCACUGGAACUGCAUCUGUGACUGCAUCGCUGGAGUGCGGCGAGAGGGGGGGGAUGGAAUUCGCGUGUAGCAGUGAAUGCGUAGAUAUGCGAGGACACGAUGCGAGCAUCCCGUGGCGCACUGACGUCAUGCACGAAAGCGUCGGGAGCGAAACAG
rnacentral:rRNA from 1 species